rnacentral:rRNA from 1 species
CCUACGGGAGACAGCAGUGGGGAAUAUUGGGCAAUGGGCGCAAGCCUGACCCAGCAACGCCGCGUGAAGGACGAAGGCCCUCGGGUGGUAAACUUCUUUUGUCAGGGACGAAUAAUGUUACGGUACCGGACGACGAAGCCACGGCUAACUUCGUGCAAGCAGCCCCGGGAUUAAGUAGGUGGCAAGCUUUAUCCGGAUUUACUGGGUGUAAGGGUCGUGGAGGUGGGACUGAAAGUCAGAUGUGAAAUUCCAGGGCCAAAGCCUGGAACUGCAUUUGAAACUGUAGUGCUUGAGUGAGGGGGCGGCAGGAGGAAUGUGGGGUGUAGCGGUGAAAUGCGUAGAUAU